rnacentral:lncRNA from 1 species
GGACAGGCGCAUUUAUCGUGGCAGCUCUGGUAAGCUGGACAAUUUUAACCAAGUGUGUUACAAAUACGUUUUGUUAUAUUAACUUUGCAUUAAAUGAACGUAUCCAUAGGUGGAUUAUUUUUUUGUUUUAUAGUCUUAUUAUAUGAUCUCAAUUCUCAACAAGAAAAGUUCAUAUUUAGAUGUCAUAAAUACAAUUUUAUGAUAUAAUGAUUAAUAAAUGCAUUUCGAAAAACCAAUGUUUAAUAUUUGAAUGCAAUAAUUAACUUUUUUUUUCAUCUUUUGAUCCUAAUGUUUUAUCCUUAGUCAUCUCUCUUUCUUGUAUUAAAUAAUAUAUAAAACACCGAUAUAUCAUUAAUAUUAUUUUUUUGUUUGAAUAUUUAUUUUUAAGAAAAUCAUCUACUCAAAAGUAAUUUCUCAUUCUAAAAGAGAGGUUAUUGAAUAAUUUAGAUAUUUUGUCACUCCAAGAGAAGGUAUUAAUUACAAAAUAAUUUUGAUUCGGAUGGGUUCUAAUGUAGAUUAGAGGAGAUUUAUUAAAAGAGAAUGGCCCACCCCUCACUUAACUCAUAAGUACAGAUGGAAUUGCGUUUUGAGAACUAUAACGUACAAGUUGAGUAUACACGCCUCUUAAUGUCAUCAUUAGCACCUGAAAGCAACUUGUAAGGUAUCUCGGAAAGAAAAGUCAACCUACCAUAUUUCUAUUGGCG